ACAUGCAGUCGAGCGAACUGAUUAGAAGCUUGCUUCUAUGACGUUAGCGGCGGACGGGUGAGUAACACGUGGGCAACCUGCCUGUAAGACUGGGAUAACUUCGGGAAACCGAAGCUAAUACCGGAUAGGAUCUUCUCCUUCAUGGGAGAUGAUUGAAAGAUGGUUUCGGCUAUCACUUACAGAUGGGCCCGCGGUGCAUUAGCUAGUUGGUGAGGUAACGGCUCACCAAGGCAACGAUGCAUAGCCGACCUGAGAGGGUGAUCGGCCACACUGGGACUGAGACACGGCCCAGACUCCUACGGGAGGCAGCAGUAGGGAAUCUUCCGCAAUGGACGAAAGUCUGACGGAGCAACGCCGCGUGAGUGAUGAAGGCUUUCGGGUCGUAAAACUCUGUUGUUAGGGAAGAACAAGUACAAGAGUAACUGCUUGUACCUUGACGGUACCUAACCAGAAAGCCACGGCUAACUACGUGCCAGCAGCCGCGGUAAUACGUAGGUGGCAAGCGUUAUCCGGAAUUAUUGGGCGUAAAGCGCGCGCAGGCGGUUUCUUAAGUCUGAUGUGAAAGCCCACGGCUCAACCGUGGAGGGUCAUUGGAAACUGGGGAACUUGAGUGCAGAAGAGAAAAGCGGAAUUCCACGUGUAGCGGUGAAAUGCGUAGAGAUGUGGAGGAACACCAGUGGCGAAGGCGGCUUUUUGGUCUGUAA
rnacentral:rRNA from 2 species